rnacentral:rRNA from 1 species
GCUUACGGCCACACCGCCUGGUUCACGCCUGAUCUCAAUUGAUCACGGAAGCUAAGAUAGGGUGGGCCAGGUUAGUACUUGGAUGGGGAGACCGCCUGGGAAUACCAGGUGCUGUAAGCU